rnacentral:lncRNA from 1 species
UUCUCAUAAAUAAUAAUAUUUUUUUGAAAAAUAAUAAUAAUUAGAAAGCUGGCUGGAAAUACUCUCUUGGGUAUUAAAUUUAAUCUGUUUUUUGAAAAGGAUAAGCCCCCUAAUAAAUAUGGGUGAUGAAUUUGAAUGCAUGAACGAGCUGAAAAUACCGAGAUUUGUUAAUCUAGUUGUUUAUAUAUUAACUUUUUUGUUAUGAUGAUACAUAUUACGUGUAUAACGAUAAAUUAUCCGGUUAAUCAAAUUUUUUACUAAAACAAACAAAAUUAGUAAAUAGAAAAAAAAAAGCUCUUUCAACGUCGUCCAUUCUUAUGAGCGAUGUUGUCUUCUAUUGGUUGUUGGCUUGAUGGUUGUUGUUACAUUUCAUACGAUGGCUUUGUGUAAGGCGAGGAUUUGUCUUUUUUCUUUAGGUGUGUUUUCUUCAUGGUGUCCUUUUUUUCUCGAACUUAUAGCUGCACCUAUCAAUCCUUAAGAUUCGAACAUUCGUAGACAAUAAGAUUAAAAUUUUACAGUGUGCAAAAGAGCUUGUCAUGCGAGAAUAAUUACUGGUUUAUGUUGUCAUGUUUGGCUAAUGAGUUGAUUCACAUAUAUUAUUUACGUUAGGGGUCUAAAAUAAAUGGAACAAAAACUCGUUGUUUGGCUAACUCAAAUAGUAGGUGAUAACGGGCUAUUCAAAAUCACAGCCUUCAAACAUUUAAAAUAACAUGAAAAUGAGUUAGAUGAAAUACCAUAAUUUGAAAAUCCUACAAAUUCCUUUUUUAGAUGUCAACUUAAAUAACUCAUAGAAAUAACUUAACUUACUUUCUCAAUUUCCUUAUUUAUAAUAUAGGUGCAUACUCUGAUACCUCCAUAAUAUGUUAUCGACAUAGUUUUCACUUAGGUGUCAUGUCGUUGAUACCAACAGCUACAUUAUGUUUUAGUAUCCUUAGCUAAUUAGGCGUUAUAUCGUUGAUAUCAACCGUCAUUAACGUUUAGGUGGCAGCCAGUUAGAAAAUAUCCGUACCUAAAAUAUCGUAAAUCAAUAAUAAUAAAAACUUUAAAACACAAAACACACAUAGUUGCUCAGCCAGCCUUUCUAAAUCUAACACCAAGCAAAUGCAUGUUCUUCCAUUAAAUUCUCCCCCUCAAAAUUUUUUUUAUACAGAUUUGAUGUAUUAAUUAAUUGUUUAUUUCUAUUAAGUAAAGAAUUUGACAUAUAAUAUUAUUAAUUUAACAUUUUAUAAUAUAAUACGGCAGCUGUUUACUGGUUGUCUAUGAUCAUUAAUACUGGUUGUCAAUGAUCAUUAAGGUCAACUUUCAUUUCCCCAUCUGCCCCGUUGACAUCAAUACAUCAGCAAUUUUAAUCCUAAUUAUUGUUUAUUUUAAUAUGGUUAUUAAUUAAUUAAUUAUUAAUCAUUAAUUAUAUACAAACAGUGAAGCAUUGA